rnacentral:rRNA from 1 species
UACGAAGGGGGCUAGCGUUGCUCGGAAUCACUGGGCGUAAAGCGCACGUAGGCGGAUCUUUAAGUCCGGGGUGAAAUCCUGGAGCUCAACUCCAGAACUGCCUUUGAUACUGGGGAUCUCGAGUCCGGGAGAGGUGAGUGGAACUCCGAGUGUAGAGGUGAAAUUCGUAGAUAUUCGCAAGAACACCAGUGGCGAAGGCGGCUCACUGGCCCGAUACUGACGCUGAGGCACGAAAGCGUGGGGAGCAAACAGG